rnacentral:lncRNA from 1 species
CCAAUUAUUGCUCAACCCAGUAAACACUAUAAAUAAAUAAAACCAAUAUGAAAACAAAAAAUUAAAAGUCCAUUUACAUAAAUAAGUCCAUUAAACAGUUAAAAGAAACCCAAAAUUACAACCAAACCCAAACCAAGACCCAAACCUAACCUAAGCCCAACUAGCCCAAUCUGAAAGAACCCCUCUGAAACCCUAGCAACC